UGUGUUGAUCUAUGCAUCUCUGAGCAUC
rnacentral:piRNA from 1 species